GGUAGUGUGGCCAAGUGGUCUAAGGCACUUGAUUUAGACUCUAGUUUCUAAGGAGUUGAGAGUUCAAAUCCCAGCAUCA